AUGAUGAGAAUAAAAUCCUCAACUUCUGGAGGGUGGGCAGAAGAGGGACCACUAGUAGUGAAGAGAAGAAAGAGUGAGAGGCAUCAGGAGAACAGGGAGAGAAGGCAGGGAAGACUGAGAGAUGGAGUUCCGCGGAUGGAAGCAUCCAUGUCAGUUGCAGCGCUUUGUUUCGUUCACUGCAUGUGUUGGUACCACUUGAUAAGCUGAGUCCCAGUGCCUCCGGCAGCUGGCCAGGAAGGGCACACGCUCUCCCACCCUGGGGCUGGUGCUCUUUUCCUCCACUGGGUCUGGCUCUUCUCUUUCUUAGAAGUGCUUUUGUGUGGCUGGAGGCCACAUGGCCCUCAGCACCUCCACCUGGCUCCAUCCUGUCUGGAUUAAACCCCUGAACAAAAAAAGGCACACCUGGGCCUUUGAUUUUGCUUCUGUUUUGAGCUCACUUUUGAUGGAGAAAAUGAGAUUAAAUGACUCAGCCCUAGAGAGAGGAUGGACUGUACUGAACUCCUGUUAAAGAAAUAAAGAAAGGAGAAGGUGGAAGUCUCAGGAGGAAUGACACUGUUUCAGAAGGAAACAGUGUUUCAGAAUAAAGCUGAGGAAAGAGUCAAUGUUUGAGGAAGUGCUGGAAGGUGACCGUUCCAAUCUUAGAAGCCCUUUGAAGUCGCCACCACAUUUCUCUAGAAAUUCUCAGGGAGGCUGAUUUGAUUAUUUACCUUUCUUCCAAUUCUACCCAGCACCCGUCGGAUAUAGUGAGGUAAGGAGACCUUCAAGAGGAAUGAGUCACCAUGAUAUCCUUCUCCUGAGAGCAGGGGCUAGGGUGAGGGGAAUGCUGAAUUUACUUUAGAAUGAAGAUGGCAGAAAGUAGACCAGACUCCCAGUGAUUGUCUCAGAAGGGGGUCCAAGCCUCUAGAUGAAACAAUAGCUUCCAGGUAUUUGUGAAAUUCACAGAACAACGUACCUUUCCCAGCUCUGUUAUUUUGGUUUUCCUUUGUAUAUUCCUCCUAGUGAUUAGCCAUAGAAGCUUUCAAUCAUAAAGACCCAUGUCCUGGCUUUGAGAUAGAAAUUGUGAUGACGGCAAAGAAAAGAGGUACUGUGUCUGACUCCACAGCCAAUGUUUAGGGGAGAAGAAACCCAACAGAUAGCAGCAAUUAAUUUA
rnacentral:lncRNA from 1 species